rnacentral:rRNA from 1 species
AUACGGAGGAUCCGAGCGUUAUCCGGAUUUAUUGGGUUUAAAGGGUGCGCAGGCGGCCAUUUAAGUCAGCGGUUAAAUCGUGGGGCUCACCCCCAUUCUGCCGUUGAUACUGGGGGGCUUGAUUGCGGUCGAGGUUGGCGGAAUUCGUUGUGUAGCGGUGAAAUGCAUAGAUAUGACGAAGAACACCGAUUGCGUAGGCAGCUGACCAGACCGCAAAUGACGCUCAUGCACGAAAGUGCGGGGAUCGAACAGGAUUAGAUACCCUGGUAGUCCGCACAGUAAACGAUGAAUACUUGUUUUCGGCGAUAUAAUGUCGGAGGCAAAGCGAAAGCGAUAAGUAUUCCACCUGGGGAGUACGCCGGCAACGGUGAAACUCAAAUGAAUUGGCGGGG